GUAACCCAUGUUCCAGCCGUGUGGGGCGAGGCUGCGGUGAUAACAGGAUUUGUCUUUUCACAGGGACACAGACAAGGUGACCUGCUACGUUUGUAGCAAGAGACUGAGCCCCAGCCAGAUUUACAAGGACCGAGCAGCCGAGAGAGACGCUCUCAGCACGGCCGUGACCUGCCCCAGAGCCAGCUGCAGCUGGACGGGGACCCUGGCGUCCUACCUGGAGCACCUCUGCCCCCCAGCGGCGAGUCCCGGCCCGGAGGAGAAGUCAGCUCCGAAGGACCCGGAAGCCCACGCAGUGGACGCCCCAUCCCUGGCUCUCCAGCGGCGGAUACAGCAGCUGGAGGUUAUCGUGACGUCCCUGCGCCAGGAGC
rnacentral:lncRNA from 1 species